rnacentral:tRNA from 1 species
GUAGAUUUAGUUUAAAUAAUAAAACAUUUAUUUUGCAUAUAAAUACUUUAAGUGAAAAUCCUAAAAUUUACA